AUUGAACGCUGGCGGCAUGCUUUACACAUGCAAGUCGAACGGUAACAGGUUAAGCUGACGAGUGGCGAACGGGUGAGUAAUGCAUCGGAACGUGCCCGGUCGUGGGGGAUAACGCAGCGAAAGCUGCGCUAAUACCGCAUACGAUCUGAGGAUGAAAGCGGGGGACCGUAAGGCCUCGCGCGAUCGGAGCGGCCGAUGUCAGAUUAGGUAGUUGGUGAGGUAAAGGCUCACCAAGCCAACGAUCUGUAGCUGGUCUGAGAGGACGACCAGCCACACUGGGACUGAGACACGGCCCAGACUCCUACGGGAGGCAGCAGUGGGGAAUUUUGGACAAUGGGCGAAAGCCUGAUCCAGCAAUGCCGCGUGCAGGAAGAAGGCCUUCGGGUUGUAAACUGCUUUUGUACGGAGCGAAAAGGCUCUCUCUAAUACAGGGGGCUCAUGACGGUACCGUAAGAAUAAGCACCGGCUAACUACGUGCCAGCCGCCGCGGUAAGAC
rnacentral:rRNA from 1 species